UCUCUCUCUCUCUCUCUCUUCCAAGGGGACGAAGGCAUCUUCAGCUAAGAGCCAAAUUUUCAGGAAAAGUCGUGAUCAUGAUCAUGAAUCAGCAAAGGCAGAUUUAUAAUAAUUCCAACGUCAACUGUUUUUAUGGGUCCAAAACCAAUCAAUUUUUCUCCCCUAAAAGAGCAUUAGCCACAUAUAUGCAACAUAAUGUGAUCUCAAUAUGCUUUAGCUAACUACUAUUUAGUAAUGAUAAUCUCUAAAAGUAUUUAAGGACCAUUAUUCCAAAACCAAUGCCAAGGAAAGUAGCAAUGGCAACUCCAAAAAUGCCUGCAAGAAUCCCAGGAACAACAAGAGAAUUCCAUCCUUUUGCAGAAGCCAUUCCACAUGCUGUUGUAGGGCCUCCUAUGUUGGCAUUUGAUGCCAAAAGUAACAGUUUUAAAUCAAAGUUCAAAAGUUUUCCAAGCCCUAGCACUACAGCAAGAUGCACAGUUACUUGAACUAGAGCAAACAAGAAAAUACUAGGCGCUGUAUUGAUGACAUUCCUUAUGCUCCCACUAGCGCCCACCACAGCAAAAAAAACCUGCAUCAGAACCAGAGCAAUGGUAUCACCAGCAGGUGCAAGAUGAGCAAAUUGUGUUGGAAAUGCUGUUGCUAAAAUGACCACCAUAGCUGUUAUUGCUGGAAGACUGCGUCCCUGAAUCUUACACAAUUGUGUAAGAUAUAUAGCAGUCUUACAUAUCACAAAGGAGACAGUAAGUGCUGUAGCCGACUGUAGUACAGGGAUUUUGCCUGCAGAAUUGGACUCCACAUCCAUUUCAACACCAAUAGUUGAUGCUGAAGCCUCAGGAGGAAUUUUAGAGGCCAAUGCAAAUAGCACCAUGAAGUAUAUUGCACAAAUAACAUUGUCAGCAGCUACUCCUGCGGCUACAACAGAUGGAGAUGUACCAAGUGCCUCAGAAAUUGCAACAUAAUUAACAGCUGAAACAACAAAGAACAUCAUAAUUUCCAAAAUGAAUUUGGUGAAAGAAAUGCAAACAUUAAAAAUGAACACAAAGGACAACAACACUAUAUUUGCUUGUGUAAAAUCAGGAUAUGCAGGUAGUAGCAUGUUACAUAUCAGAGAAGAAGACUGAGGCAGAAUAAGGGUUAGUUGAAUGAGUUGUAAGUGGCAGGAGAAUAGUUGUCAAGUAGUUAGUUGUAUGAGUUGUAUUUGGCGGGAAAAUGGUUGUCAAAUAGCUGUCAAGUAGUUAUAAACUCUAUUGUAGUUCAUUGUAAAGGCAUUCUGAUGCUUUCUCAAGAAAUAACAAUUCUCUCUCUUUUCUGAUUCUAUUUCUCUCCCCGUACUUCUUCUUAUUCCUUCCUAAAUUCUUCUAAUUCUUCUCUGUUAGGGUUUCACUCCUAACAUAGCAUGGCUCAGCAAAUCUUUUAUAAGCAUUGUACAAAUGCAGAAAUCUCUCAUACAAGAUUUCAGUCCUAAAUAUAAAAUUUUACCUCAAUAAAAGUACCACAGUACUAGCAUAGCACAAGUAAGAGGAAUUUCACCCGAGGAUAGUGACAAAGCUAAUUUUUUUAACUUGUAGAACCUUGAAGUAAAUACACAACACCAUUUUGCAACAACUUACAUCCCCCAAUAUAACUACCCAUAAGGGCAGCAGCUAUUUUCCAAUUAUCUGGACCAAGAGAUCGCAUAGGCACCAUUAGAAAAGCCACUGUAGUUCCAAAUAUGGUCGCAACUGUCAAGCAGAAAGGCAAGUUACUAAGCAUGAUAGAAAAUCAUAAAAAUGAAAUAAAUGAAGUAGUUUUAAAAAAUAAUAAUAAAAACUGCACAAGCUACAGUGUGAAAAGGGUAAUUCAGUGGAAAAAUGGUCAGAUGUUUCCUAUGUUAUUGUAUAUAGAAAUACUAAUUUGAAAUUGACAAUAAGCUAUUAACUUUAGUGUUAAGUUCUAGUAUAUAGCAAACAGCUUACCACAAGAUCAUAAAGUACACAAGUUGAAGUUCUAAACCAAUUCAGAACUACAGGCUACUGCAUCAUAUAUCAUCUCUAACACAUGCAAGGCACAACGUACAUUUAACAGCAAACUGAGCACAUUCAGCAGCUGGAAAGAACAUCAUCAUUAAAAGGUCACUCCCUCAAAAGCCAACCACAGAGAAGUUCCGGUUCCUUUGCAAUGUGCAUGCACCAAAAGCAGCAUUUUCCAGUAAAAGAUCCCAUGCCAAAUCCAUUUAUGUGACUAGUUUUAUGCAAUGUUAUGCAUAAACAUUCUCUUAGAAGAUGUCAUAGUCAUGAGACAGAGCGUUUUAUAGACUAACUCUAUAGAAGGAAAAAGAGGAAAUUAAAAAGAAAGAGCUUAGCUUGAGAUAAAAAUGGCAUAAACAUAAAGAAACUUACAGGACUUAAAAACACCCUAGUCUUUCAUAAUCUGCUCCGUCAUUAACAUCCUGGAACUCAUAGACAUCUUCAGUACUCAAACACUAGGAUCCUAUUGGUUCCAUCAGCUAGCCUAUAGAUCAGACUCUUUGAUUCCCAGUAAUACACUGCUGAAAGCACACAAUUUCUUUGUCAUCAAUCCCUAAUGUGUUAGCUAGCAUAUCAAGACAAGACUUUGUUCAACUGUUCUACUGUUUAAGAGCAUCUGAAACAUUUUUCAGCAUUAUUCAGAUUUUGAAUUCCCAACAAAAUAUACCAGACCCAUGUCCCAAUUCCAUCUUAUCCUUCAUAAGAAUUUGCUUUCUUAUUAUGUUCAUUAGGUACAUUAUGUGAACAAAAAUAUAUAUGAUUCCAAAUCCAUAGAGAUGACAAUUAAGAAACACAAGCCGCUCACACUUCAUGGAGAAGUAAAAGAUAAUAGAGGAGUCAUUUAACCUGAACCGAGCAAGAAAGCCAUGAGCAAUGUCCCUGUUGAACGGAUCACUUGACGCAAGUCUGCUCUAAACAAGAGCAAAGGAACCGCUAGUGGCACUAGGAACUCCAAGACAACGGAAUACGCCGCCGUUUUAUAAGGAAUGAUUCCGAGAUUACUCGCUGCUAGCCCAACCAAUGUGCUCACUAAGGGCGCACUCACCAUGCUCCCAAUCUUGGUCCUUUCAG
rnacentral:misc_RNA from 1 species